rnacentral:lncRNA from 1 species
GAAGGACUGUACUGCCUAACUCAAGGGUGAGGAUUUACUUUUGUAGAUAAUGAGGAUCCACCAAGCCUAAAGCAGAGGCACGAUCAGAUCUAUGUUACUAGAAUAUUCCUCUGAGCUGCCAAGAUAACAAUGAGAAUAAUUGGAAGAGCUGAGGGAACAGAGGAAGAGAGGUGAAGCUAGGAUCUCAGAAUGUAUCUGAAGAGUUGAGAAUUUACCAAGAUCUUAAGACAUACAGGCUUUGGCUCCUAAUUAGAUUACUCCGCAAAUGUUAAUUCACUUUCUUUUGUCUCUUCUCCCGCCUCAAUCUUGUUUAAGCCCAGAGUAAGCAGUUGAGUUGGAGCUAAUCAUUGACCAGGAUUUUGCAGAACCAGGGUGGCCUGGCACAGAUGCACUGAUGAGGGAUGAACUAAAAGCAGCUACAAGUGGCUGCAUCAUGAAGGAUCAAGGGCAGGCUGCAGCAACGGGCCAACACAAGGACGUCAUCUCACCAAGGGCUGCGUUUGAGGUAGGGCUACUCAAAUUAGGUGAAAGCCCUAAGAAUUGCCUGGUCUCUGGAGCAGCGUCAGCAAGGGACAGCUUCAUGCUGGGCAGGCUGACCAGGUGCUGGAAAGGUACAAGGCUUGGCAAUGAGGUUUGCAAUCCUGUUGGCAAUUUUCUACAACUUUUUAAACUGGGACAGCUUAAUUAG